rnacentral:tRNA from 1 species
GACUCUGUGGCGCAAUGGACAGCGCGUUGGACUUCUAGUCGAUCAUCAUGAAAGUUAUUCAAAGGUUGUGGGGUUCGAGUCCCACCAGAGUUG